UACGGAGGGAGCUAGCGUUAUUCGGAAUUACUGGGCGUAAAGCGCACGUAGGCGGCUUUGUAAGUUAGAGGUGAAAGCCCGGAGCUCAACUCCGGAACUGCCUUUAAGACUGCAUCGCUAGAAUUGUGGAGAGGUAAGUGGAAUUCCGAGUGUAGAGGUGAAAUUCGUAGAUAUUCGGAAGAACACCAGUGGCGAAGGCGACUUACUGGACACAUAUUGACGCUGAGGUGCGAAAGCGUGGGGAGCAAACAGG
rnacentral:rRNA from 1 species